UACGUAGGGUGCAAGCGUUGUCCGGAAUUAUUGGGCGUAAAGGGCUCGUAGGCGGUCCGUCACGUCGGGAGUGAAAACUUGGGGCUUAACCCCAAGCCUGCUUCCGAUACGGGCGGACUAGAGGUAGGCAGGGGAGAACGGAAUUCCUGGUGUAGCGGUGAAAUGCGCAGAUAUCAGGAAGAACACCCGUGGCGAAGGCGGUUCUCUGGGACGGUACUGACGCUGAGACGCGAAAGCGUGGGGAGCGAACAGG
rnacentral:rRNA from 1 species